UGUAUGGGAUUCUAAAUGGGAGGAGGUGCCUGGAACAAUCCUCCUCACUCCCAGGAAAAUCUGCCUCCCUGAAAAUCCUGAGGGCUGGAGCCAGGGCAGCUGCUCCGAGGAUGUCACCAGCCUCCCAGAGGAUCCAGCUGUGGCCAACACCAUGCCCAACGUACCUCUGCAAGCACCAAAAGCGCUCCCAGAGAGCUGUCUGCCCAAGACCAAGUCACCAGAAGUGCUUUUCUUAGGAACCCAGAGAACCCUCUAAAAUCUCCCAAGUCUGAUCUAACUGGCUCAGAGCAGUCUGAGAAACAAGUCCCAGAUGGAGAGGAGAAUUUCGCCAAGAGCCAAAGAUGCCUUGGGAAGAGCUACUGGGGGAGGGGCCUGCUGGCAGCCCUAUCUGUUCCCCACAGCUGGACUCACUGAAGCUUCUUACCUCCUGGGCACAGCCGUAGGCCAGCCACUCCUGGCGGUAGCGGUCAAAACCACUGGAGCAUCUGCAAGGGGACCAAAAGAAGAGUGACCAGGAGGAAUCAGCCACAGAGUGCAAUGGCUUGGAGAAAGACCAUCCAUAUCUCUGGAAGAAUCUGGCUAAGUCCUGCCCUACCCAAAGGGGAAGACACCUGCUGAGUUCUGCUGAGACAGACCUAGUGUUCAAGAACUUUCCUCCUCCCCUUCUUCUUUCUCCACCCACCCUGCUUCCAGAACCUCCAGGGAAGAAGAAGGGAAGGCAAGGCAAGAAAUGCCCCAGAAGGCAAGGAGAAGGGGUCCCUGGAAUGGAGUGCCGCAUGGAGUGCCCUGGGAAAAUACCUGAAGGGAGCCUGCCUCUCCCUCUGCCUAUGUCUCUGCCUCUCUCUGUUUCUCAUGAAUAAAUGCAUAAAAUCUUUUAAAAAAAUAAAAAUGCAAGAACAGGGGA